GUGGCCUUCUCCGUCUUCGCCAUCGUCCUUCCUCCAUGGCGCCCAAGCUCUCCAAAUCGAAGGGGAUGAGCCGCACGUACGGCGGGAGGAGCCGCGCACACGGGAGGAGGAUGCACCAGGGGUUGGUGCAGCGGGCGGCGGCGGCAGGGGGCGGUGGAGCUGCCUCAGGUGGUGGACGGCGCUGCCUACCGAGGCCUCGACGUGAUUCAGUUCUCCCACCCAGGCAUCGCCUCGGAGGGGGGCUGCUGUUUGGGAGACGUCAUUCAUGGUACUAAUGCUACUGGCUCGAUAGACCUGACAUCAAUAUACUUCGUUCGAUGGGAUUAGAGGCUUCAGACCUUAGAGAGCCCAUGGAUCUUCUCCCAGUACUAGGUAGAAACAUGGAUUCCGUGAAAGCCGAGUACAUCAGCAUUUUACCACACUAAGUCAGGUUAACCAAAUUGGAUCUAUUACUGGGAACAUGCAUUGAG